ensembl:lncRNA
GUGAUGCUGCUGACAAGGGACCACAAACAUCUCCCACAAGGAGGAGGAAGAGAAAGAAGAACAGUGCAGUUAGAAGUCACUUUAGAGUUCUUUUAGACCAGAUUCUUAUGUUUAGAUAAGAAAAUGAGAGCCAAAGUGGCACAAUGGAGUGGAAAAGAGCACUGAACCAGAGUUUGAGAGACAUGAACACCCUGGUUCUCACACAAAAAAGAACUGUUAGUAGAGGGUGCUGUCAGGGCAGCUGUCUUUAGCACUCCCUCCCCACCGCCAGAACUGGGAUAACCUCUUCCUUAAAUGUAUUUGUUAGAUACUUGAAUUUAUUAAGGAUCCAUUCCUUCUCAGUUACGUGCUACAUUUUUCAUUGAGGCUGCAGUGGCUCUCAUUGCAAAUGCAGCCACCUGGUGACAGCGAAUUCGUAUUUGAGAAAGCUGGUCAGAAGAGGGUUGAGUUCUGAUCUGGAGAGCUGGCCGGGCCCAGAAAAAUCUAAGGCUGUUAGAACAAAAUAAAGAGAUUCUGCCUCGGGAAGGGAUGGGGCGGAGGAAGGAGUGUCAUUCAAACCUCAGACUAACACUCAUCUGAGCUGAGAGAGCAAACGUGAGGGACUUGCUCCCUCCCGAGUGCAGGUCUGAGGAAGAGAGGAAUGCAGAGGGUUCCGCUGGCAGGGCUAAGAGAGUCAACAACCAGCCCGCAGGGGCCAGGUGGCAGCUGGGAGAAAAGUUCGGACUUGCUUUUGGGAAGAUUUAUACCUAGAACACCCCUGGAAAGAAUCUGGCAUCCUCCGGACUCAGGAUGAGGAAAGGUGGCAGAGCUAACCAGAAUGAAACACAAGAUUGACAUUUUUUAUUCUGACCUGUGGUGACCAAACGAAGCCCUGAGUCAUAAGAUGCCCUUCCUCUGUGCCUGUGUGGAAGCGCAGGACUGAAGAUGGGUGGCUAUUGUGAACGGCAUCUUUUUCCCAUUGUAUUUUUCAUUACUUAUAUGCAAUAAAGCUCUAGAUUUUUAUAUA